CCAGAAAUCUAUGCAUAUAUUACGUACAUGUUCACAAAAAUACUUAAAGAAAGAUGUCUUUAUUUCCCAGUAAGGAAACUGAGGCCAGGAACACUCCAAAGGCAGAUUGUGGCCUUAGACUGGAACCAGGAGCCCUGUAUGGGCUCUGCUACUUUCCGCAGUAAGCUGGACCCAACUCCUGAGCUGUGGCAGGAAUGGCUGGUCGAAGUGGCAGUACCACUGAAAGGGGGCAUCUGUCUGGACUGGAAUGGCCCGGUCUGCAAGAGCACCCAGCUGAGAUGUGCAACAAACGUUUGUUGAAGCAGGAGCUGGCAGCCUCCUGAGCUCCUGCUAAUGCUAUUAAAUGAAAAGUGAUAAACCAAGUGCCUGCAUUUCCGGUGGCUCCCCAACAGACAAAACAGAGCCAGUUUUCCAGAGAAGCCUCAGCUCAGGACACAACUCAGGGUGGCCUCCUGAUGGACAGUCCAGCAUGCGGAUGAUAUGAGGUCUGUCUAUGCUUCUGGCCAGCAUCUGAGGGUUCUUCCCGUGUAUCUGACACGGAGUAAUCCCGAUAAGAUCACGUGCAACUCCUACCCCAUCCCACCAUGAUCUCCCCCAACUUCUAACCCUUUGGCCCUGAUUCCUUGGUCUGUAUAUCAUUGGAU